AAUUACCUGUACGCUACCUGUGUCUGGGUGUUUGCAAACCUAAUGAGGAGCAUGUUUUGAUAGUAAUUGAUCGAGAAGUAUCGGGAUGGAUAGCAAAAUGUCACACUUUUUACACAAACUUCGACAAGUACAGGGGUUACACCACCAAAGAAAACGAAACUUUUAUCCCGAUAUCUAAGCAGGAGGCAGAUUCCCGAUUUUCGGAAUGGUUAUCGGGAUCGUAUUUGGAUGACACCCAUGCAUAUUGCCGUCCAAUAGGUAUGUUUAACUUAUAUAUUGUACAAUUGAAUAUAUUUAUUGACUUUUAAUAUGGUAGGAGGUCGUAACAUUCUAUUGUGUACACGGGUCACUAGGACAGAAUGACAGCCAAUACAUUAUCUACAAGAAGAAUAGAUAUGGUCAACUUUAUGAGUAACAUUUUUUUUUUGGAGCGAUUAUAUGGUAGACUAUGGUGGAAUGAAUGAUGUUACAAAGCACAUGAAAACAGCCAUCCAUUAAGCCAGCAUCAAAUCCCAGAAAUCACCACCUGCUGCUACCAACUUCUUUGUGAAAUCAAAAUUGGAGCAAGAUAAAGAUGACAUGAGAGCAGAGGUCCUGUUUGCCAACUGUGUUGCAGAACUUGGUGUUUUUUGUGCUGCUAUACCAUACUAUUUAUUGUUUGUUGAGAUUUUAAAUUAUUGAUUUAAUAUAUGAAAAUAAAGUUAUGUACUUU
rnacentral:sRNA from 1 species